GGAGGUGAGUACACAGGAUCUGUUGGACAGUAGGAGGUGUGUACACAGGAUCUGUUAGACAGUAGGAGGUGAGUACACAGGAUCUGUUAGACAGUAGGAGGUGUGUACACAGGAUCUGUUAGACAGUAGGAGGUGAGUACACAGGAUCUGUUAGACAGUAGGAGGUAUGCACACAGGAUCUGUUAGACAGUAGGGGGUAUGCACACAGGAUCUGUUAGACAGUAGGAGGUGUGUACACAGGAUCUGUUAGACAGUAGGAGGU